rnacentral:rRNA from 1 species
GAUGAACGCUGGCGGCGUGCCUAAUACAUGCAAGUCGAGCGAACAGACGAGGAGCUUGCUCCUCUGACGUUAGCGGCGGACGGGUGAGUAACACGUGGAUAACCUACCUAUAAGACUGGGAUAACUUCGGGAAACCGGAGCUAAUACCGGAUAAUAUAUUGAACCGCAUGGUUCAAUAGUGAAAGACGGUUUUGCUGUCACUUAUAGAUGGAUCCGCGCCGCAUUAGCUAGUUGGUAAGGUAACGGCUUACCAAGGCAACGAUGCGUAGCCGACCUGAGAGGGUGAUGGGCCACACUGGAACUGAGACACGGUCCAGACUCCUACGGGAGGCAGCAGUAGGAAAUCUUCCGCAAUGGGCGAAAGCUUGACGGAGCAACGCCGCGUGAGUGAUGAAGGUCUUCGGAUCGUAAAACUCUGUUAUUAGGGAAGAACAAAUGUGUAAGUAACUAUGCACGUCUUGACGGUACCUAAUCAGAAAGCCACGGCUAACUACGUG